GAGUCUGUCAAAUCAGUGGAAAUAUCGACUGAGAAAAGAUUGCAGCAUUGGACUUUUAUUCAAGUUUGUGCCAAGCACAUAUAUAUGAUGUUUCUUCCAGGAAAAUAUUGAAUUGAUUCCCGAGUCUAAAAAAGCUAAACCAUGGGUACUGGCUAGGAAUUCUGGGAGAAAUUUGACCAGAUAAAGCCCGCAUAGAGCCUGUGACAUAAUGUUCGUCUGAAGGUCUACUAUCCACCGUCAUCGUGAAUGACCACUCUAGCAUGAGACCUCAACCGUGACUGGGAGAGAUUCUUUUCUUCCGAUGAGUCAAACCGGAAGGGCACGUGUCCAGGAGCUCUGUGAGAAACUCCAGGCCCACAACCGCCCAAAGUCUGGGAGCCGGCCAAAAAAGCAAUCAAGUGCUGGGGAAGAUGAAGAGGUGAUGCUCUGAGCUGAACUCCAGAGACCUUGGAAGUUUAUCAUCACGAAGAGGCAAAGUGCAUUGUUUUUAAUAAGGACCAGUGCAAACCCUAGCUGUGAUCAGAAUCAUUAGACUUUCUGGAGACAAAGUGGGUGUCUCCCCCGUGCUGAGAUGUGAUUUUCAGGUGCAAAUACAUACUCCAUCAGCCCUG